UACGAAGGGUGCAAGCGUUACUCGGAAUUACUGGGCGUAAAGGGUGCGUAGGUGGUUGGUCAAGUCCGAUGUGAAAGCCCGGGGCUCAGCUUCGGAAGUGCAUCGGAAACUAGCCAGCUGGAGCGCGAUAGAGGAGGGCGGAAUUCCUGGUGUAGCGGUGAAAUGCGUAGAUAUCAGGAGGAACACCGGCGGCGAAGGCGGCCCUCUGGAUCGUUGCUGACGCUGAGACGCGAAAGCGUGGGGAGCAAACAGG
rnacentral:rRNA from 1 species